AGCAAGAACAAAGGAAGAAAAGAAAGAACAAGAACCCUAGAGUGAAAAUUCAAGAGAAAAUUUGGUGGAUUUCAGUAAUCAAGCAAUCAAAGGUAAAAUUUCUUGAUUUUGACUUGUGAUCUACCUUUCCCAUGCAUUCUUUUGCAUUUUCCAUGGUUGAAUCACAUGAUUUCAUGAUGGGUAUCUUGCUGGCUGAACACUUAGAGAGAGGUUUUGAUGCUUGAUUUGGUUAUAUUUCAAUGUAUUCUAGUGUUUUUAGUUGAUUGGUGAUGUGUAGCAUGAAAAUCAAGUAAGAAAAAUUCAUGUUCUUCCAUCACCCAUCAUUGGCCGAAUUCUCCAUGUGGAAUAUUGAGGAUGAUUUUGAUUUUAUUUCAAGUGAUUUUGUUAGGAAUUAGUGAUUUACGGUGUGAGAAUCAAGCUUGAAAAAUUAUAGUGUUGAUGCACCCACCAUGGCCAAAUUUUCCAAGAAAAAAUGUGAGGAUGACUUUACCAUAUUUCAAGUUAUUUAAUUUGUGUUUGAUGAUUUGGAGAAUUAGAAGAAAAAAUGGAAUUAUUUGGAGUUAAAUUGGACAUAUUGGCCAAUUAAUCGAGUGAUAGAUCGAAUUAGGCCAAUACCGUUUUAUUUAAGUACACAAUUGAAUUUGUGUAGAGCACCGUGUUUAGACGAUAAUCUGAACAAUUUGCAUCCCAUUUCAUACAUUAGUAUAAAGCCUGACUUGGUUUUAUAACAAUUUAGCAAAAAUGUACUAAAUGGCUUAUUGUGCAUUAUGUUUAGGUGGUAAGCAUUCUGGCAAAAGUAAAGAGAUAGUACCCGAGGAUCAAGAAUCGGAGUACUUGGAAUUCGACUCCCGAAAUAGUGAGUAACCUUACUAUCGUCUUAAUUAUCUAAAGUGGUUUUUAUCCGAUUUAGUGAUUUUAUGGAAAAUGAGUUUAAAUGGUAAAUCUUUAUGUUUUAUAAACAAAACGUGUUUAAAUGAAAUAAUUUUAGAAAUUGUCUUGAAAUUGAAUGAUGGCUUUAAAAAUAGAGUAAUUGGAGACCAUUUGAUGUAUUGUGAAUUUAUGGCUCUAAUUGAUUGGCUUAUGGCAAUAUUGGCAUGAAUGGCUGAAUUGGUAUUUGUGCUGAAAAUGUAUAAACUGUUGUUUGCCUUGAUAGGCUGGAUAAUGAUAAAAUUGCCAUGUCAUGUUGUUAAAUUUUAUUGAAUUGAUGGGUUAUUGAUUAGUCGCUGCAGUGGACGGGCUCCGUGGACCAGCCUAUUAGAGGGGGCACGGUAACCUUAUUAUAUUCAUACCUCAGUAUGAGAAGUGCGGAUGGAUAACUCCUGAGGUUAACACUUUAGAGUUCACUUCACGCCAUACCACCACGUGAGGGUGAACUCAGCCAACGCCAAGGAACGACUAUGUUUUUAAAAUAAAAACAUGAUUUAUGCAUACAUAACUUUUUAAUAGCCUUGGCGGACUUGGUUGGGAUAGCCUUCGACCAAGGUAUCCCUGAUAACUGAGUAUAAGAAUGAUUUUGGCACUAGCCAAAGCUUUUAAGAAAUUCAUAAGCCAUGUUGAUUACUCGAUUUAUAUGAAUUGAUUUUAUUUGGUUGAAAUGAGUUGAAACGUGAUGAAUUACAGUAUGAUAAACUAUUUUAUCUGUCUCUAUUUACUCAGCUUUAGAUAUUUUAGAUGGUAUUUGUUUACUCACUGGGAUUAUAUAAUCUCACCACCCUCCUUUUCAUCCAUUUCAGGCUCAAGAUAGUCGGUAGAUAGCUCAGUUUGUUGAAGGUUACAGUUGGACUUACAUCCUCAAAAACUGUAGGUUUACUGCUUUUAAUACUUUUGGUCGUUCGUGGGCCCACAUGUCACUGUAAAUUAAAUUUUAUACUUUGGUUAUCUGUAUUACAGUAUGUAUGAAUUUAUUUAGCUUUUACGCUACAAAAAUUAUUUACCAGUAACUCUAUAAAUAUUGUUUUAUAAGAAAAUAAAAUAU
rnacentral:lncRNA from 1 species